rnacentral:rRNA from 1 species
CCUACGGGAGGCAGCAGUGGGGAAUAUUGGGUAAUGGGCGCAAGCCUGACCCAGCAACGCCGCGUGAAGGAAGAAGGCUUUCGGGUUGUAAACUUCUUUUGUCAGGGAAGAGUAGAAGACGGUACCUGACGAAUAAGCCACGGCUAACUACGUGCCAGCAGCCGCGGUAAUACGUAGGUGGCAAGCGUUGUCCGGAUUUACUGGGUGUAAAGGGCGUGUAGCCGGGUUGACAAGUCAGAUGUGAAAUCCUGCGGCUCAACCGCAGAACUGCAGUUGAAACUGGUGAUCUUGAGUACUGGAGAGGCAGACGGAAUUCGUAGUGUAGCGGUGAAAUGCGUAGAUAUUAGGAGGAACACCAGUGGCGAAGGCGGUCUGCUGGACAGCAACUGACGGUGAGGCGCGAAAGCGUGGGGAGCAAACAGGAUUAGAUACCCGGGUAGUC